rnacentral:tRNA from 1 species
GGAGGAUUCGCCUAGUUGGCCUAGGGCGCACGAUUGGAAAUCGUGUUUCGGGAGACCGAUCAGGGGUUCGAAUCCCCUAUCCUCCG